GUCGACGGACAUACCAACCUGAACGCGCCCGAUCUCUUCUGAUCUCUGAAGCAAUCAGGGUCGUGACUGGAUCUGGACUGCAUGGCAGACCGUCUGGGUUAUACCGGUACCAGGACC
rnacentral:rRNA from 1 species